rnacentral:rRNA from 1 species
UAAAAGACCUAUUAAUAGGUAUGCUUAGGGAGGAGCUUGCGUCACAUUAGUUAGUUGGUGGGGUAAAGGCCUACCAAGACUAUGAUGUGUAGCCGGGCUGAGAGGUUGAACGGCCACAUUGGGACUGAGACACGGCCCAAACUCCUACGGGAGGCAGCAGUAGGGAAUUUUCGGCAAUGGAGGAAACUCUGACCGAGCAAUGCCGCGUGAACGAUGAAGUAUUUCGGUACGUAAAGUUCUUUUAUUAGGGAAGAAUAAAUGAUGGAAAAAUCAUUCUGACGGUACCUAAUGAAUAAGCCCCGGCUAACUAUGUGCCAGCAGCCGCGGUAAUACAUAGGGGGCAAGCGUUAUCCGGAAUUAUUGGGCGUAAAGGGUGCGUAGGCUGUUAAAUAAGUUUAUGGUCUAAGUGCAAUGCUCAACAUUGUGAUGCUAUAAAAACUGUUUAGCUAGAGUAAGAUAGAGGCAAGUGGAAUUCCAUGUGUAGUGGUAAAAUGCGUAAAUAUAUGGAGGAACACCAGUAGCGAAGGUGGCUUGCUGGGUCUUUACUGACGCUGAGGCACGAAAGCGUGGGGAGCAAACAGGAUUAGAUACCCUGAUAGUCCACGCCGUAAACGAUGAGUACUAAACGUUGGGUAAAACCAGUGUUGAAGUUAACACAUUAAGUACUCCGCCUGAGUAGUACGUACGCAAGUAUGAAACUUAAAGGAAUUGACGGGACUCCGCACAAGCGGUGGAUCAUGUUGUUUAAUUCGAAGGUACCCGAAAAACCUCACCAGGUCUUGACAUGCUUCUGCAAAGCUGUAGAAACACAGUGGAGGUUAUCAGUUGCACAGGUGGUGCAUGGUUGUCGUCAGCUCGUGUCGUGAGAUGUUGGGUUAAGUCCCGCAACGAGCGCAACCCUUAUUGUUAGUUGCCAGCACGUAAUGGUGGGGACUUUAGCAAGACUGCCAGUGAUAAAUUGGAGGAAGGUGGGGACGACGUCAAAUCAUCAUGCCCCUUAUGACCUGGGCUACAAACGUGAUACAAUGGCUGUUACAAAGGGUAGCUGAAACGCAAGUUUUUGGCGAAUCUCAAAAAAACAGUCUCAGUUCGGAUUG